UGGGGAAUAUUGCACAAUGGGGGAAACCCUGAUGCAGCGACGCCGCGUGAGCGAUGAAGUAUUUCGGUAUGUAAAGCUCUAUCAGCAGGGAAGAAAAUGACGGUACCUGACUAAGAAGCCCCGGNUAACUACGUGCC
rnacentral:rRNA from 1 species